AUUGAACGCUGGCGGCAGGCCUAACACAUGCAAGUCGAGCGGACGAAGGGGGCUUUCUCUUGGCUUCAGUUGCCGACGGGCGAGUAAUUCCCACGAAUCUGCCCUACCUAUGAGGAUAACGUCCCUACACGGGCGCUAAUCUCGCACACGUCCUGAUGUUGAACGUGGGGGAUCUUCGGAGCACGCGCUAUUUGAUGAGCCUAAGCCGUAUUAGCUAGUUGGUAAGGUAAAUGCUUACCAAGGCGACGAUCCGUAGCAGGUCUGAGAGGGUGAUCAGUCACACUGGAACUGAGACACGGUCCAGACUCCUACGGGAGGCAGCAGUAGGGAAUCUUCCGCAAUGGGCGAAAGCCUGACGCAGCCACGCCGCGUGAGUGAUGAAGGUCUUCGGAUCGUAAAGCACUGUUAGUAGGGAGGAAGGAAAGUGUGAGUAACCCUUGAUGUUUUGACGGUACCGAAUGAGAAAGCACCGGCUAACUUCGUG
rnacentral:rRNA from 1 species